AUAUAUACUUGCUCAGAAGUAAGUACCAGACAUGACAGGCUUCCUGUCUAUGUUUGUUUAGAAUGUUAGGAUUAUUCCACCCCUUUCAACCAAGCAAUUUUAUCCCUUCAUGGACGGUUAACCCAAUAUAAAAAAAGCAAUUCAGCUUACAAUUUAUCAUGAAGCUCCAUAAUGCAGAACCCUAACAUGAAGAAAGUAAAAUACAAGGCAGAUGAACUAUUUCAUCACUCAGUAUAAUGCAGAUCAUCAGAUCAUGAUGAUCUAUCCCAAGCUGUUUCCACCACGUUCUGAAUUAAAAAGCUAUUCAGUCGUUUUUUUAAAAUCAAUGCUUAGCGAGCCAGGUAUAGAAAUCAAAUAAUUAGGAGGAUUUGCUACAAAAUAGAGCACAACUGUCUUAACUCUUUUGGGGGGGGGGGGCUAUUGGCAGUUAUUUCUGAGAAAGUAGCUGGCACCAUGACAAAAUCCCUGUUGUAAACAAUGGGGAAUCACAAAAUUUACUAUGCAGCGGAGACAACAGGUUCCUUGAAAGAGAAAUUGGUGAUAAAUGCACACACUGAAUUAGUUUUCUGCUCCAAUAAAACACCCUAAGCAGUUUCCCUAAAUCACACGCAAAUAUUACCCAGUUCUAAAAUGAACUACUCCCAAUAGCACUCCAAAAUCAUGUAUUCCAAAGCACAAAAAGUGCAUAUGCCCCACAGUACUAAAAUGCAACAAAACCCAAACAUCCCAUUCUACAAAUACACAUACUUUUCUAAAAAAAUUCCUGAAAGUUCUGCCUCCUUUUAAAUCAAAAACAUGCAUGCACCCCAUUCACCAAUUAAGCACAUCUCUUCACCCCACCAGUUUUCUUCAUGCUCAUUUUUUUCCAACUCCUUGGCUUGUCUCCUUUCUCCUCCUCCUAAAAACACCUACUCUAUCCUUCUUAUAGCUACCCUUUAAAUUACACUUAUGCUUACACAGCUUAUUCUUCGUUAUCACCCAUAUUCCUGGUUUCCAUCUUACCCAUGUUUCAUUGACUUUCCUAACUCACUCUCUUCCUCUUAGCUUUUUCCUUUUUUCCUGACAAAUCUGUGGCCGUCUACCUGUCCAACCUCUCCUUUCUCAGUUGUAUUUUAGCCACAGGAAUACAGAAGCAUGCCGAAAAAGAAAGGGACAGUAGCUGGAAUGCUGCUGGGCCUUCCAAACACUCAAGCGCUGAUUUUGUUGUUUUAAAAAUCUUUAAAAUGUUUUAUACUUCAAAAAGGGAAAUCCAUGGGAGGCUUGAGGGGGGAGCUAUCUGAGCAUACUUGUACAACUAGACACUAUGUUGCCAAUCCCACUAAAGAGAUUUUAGUCAAGUUUAUUUAUUAUACACACAGCACGUUUCGAACCUUCAAUUUUUAUUAUAUUCACCAGCCAAACUCUGCAAUUCUUUGACUGUGAAGCAGAUGAUCUGGAUUCUACUACUGAAGAGAAUAAAUGAGAUUAUAAAUUGAAUCCAAUGUAAAUGAAUUUCUGAUAUUAAGGAGGGAAGAAAUAAUGGCGCAAGAAAAUACAGUAUUUCAAAUCACAAGGAUUUCACUAUUAAAGGGAAUAUUUAAGCACAAAGGCUUUGAACUCAAUGACUCUAGAUAGUAUUUCACAAGGGAAACAUCAUAUUAUGAACAGCCAAAUAUUAUUUUGUAAAAUAUUGUUUAAAUAUUGUUAUCCUGUAUGCAAUUUACUACGUAGUACUGUUGUAUAAAUCUCUACUUUUGUUUUCUAUUCUUGAACUGGUAAACUGAGAACACCUU